AACUGAUACUACCUGCGGGAACCUGCGGAGGGAUCAUUAUCGAGUAUUGAAUGGGUUGUAGCUGGCCUUCCGAGGCAUGUGCACGCCCUACUCAUCCACUCUACACCUGUGCACUUACUGUGGGUUUCAGAUCGUGAAGCGAGUCCUUUCACGGGGCUCGGGGAGCGUCUGUGCCUACGUUUACCACAAACACUACAAAGUAUUAGAACGUGUAUUGCGAUGUAACGCAUCUAUAUACAA
rnacentral:misc_RNA from 1 species